AAUUAUGAAAGUCAGAUUUCUAAUGCCUUUUUUUUCAUAAAUGAGUUGAACUUUUAAUGGUUUGAAUUAGAACAAAAAACAUGUGUGUGACUUUUCAGAGAGACAUGGUGGGACUUGCGGAGCACUGAAGUCAGAAAAAGCAGUGAUGAUACAAUUUCUGUUACCAGGUGGUUUAUGCAAUGACAAAGUCAUGGCCAGAAUGGCUUUAAUUUAGUGAAUGGUUAGAAGAUCAAGAAUGCACAAUGCACCCUAGAGCAUUCCUGCACCACAGCUGAGAUGAAGACUCUAUGGCUGUACCUGGAAUACUGCCUAACAUUAACUUCUGCUUUCUUUGAAGAACUCUGAAAAAUGUGAAAGGACUUCCAGAAUGACUUAAAAGAAUUAUAUAAAUACCAGGGAACCUAAUAACAGAACUUCAAACUAUUUAAUUUGUUGAAGAGGAAGCUCAGAGUUGAUUCAAUUUAAUAUCUGUGUAGAAGGUUUCUAAUAGUCAAAGGACAGAGAGAUUAUUUAGCUGGAAACUAAGCCAAAUAAAAUGAGAACAGAAAUGGGACCACAUUAUUCACAGUGUGCGUAAUUAACUCCUGGAAUUAUCUACUCAGGAAGCAGGUGUUUUCUCCAUCAUUCUUAGUCUAUCUGGAGCAGGUAUGAGCUUCACACAAUAGUGUUUGGAAAGAUACCUACUGAAAGCUGCUGAAAAACAUUGCUGCAGCCUUUCCAAACAUUGAAACUGCCAGCUUGCCCAGAUGCAGCAAGAAAAGCUUGUGAUUCAGCAUGAAGUGCCUGGUGCUGCCUACCAUUACUGACACCAGUAGGCUGUGUAGAAGAUGUUUCAAAUCUUCCCAUGAUUAACAUAGCAGCUGAGAGGAGUAAGAAGAAUGUGUUACUUAGAUCUAAAGGUUCCAGUGCUCAGCCACAGGAUGAAGCAGAAACACACAUAAUCUAAGAGCCAGCCUCAGCAGCCUCUUUGGACCUCCUCUUUCCCAUGACAGGGGGGUUUGACCUCCCAACUAGCACCACCCUGAUGCCAGCCACAUGACAUGACUCUACCUCAGGAACCAUACUUUAGUUGCCUGCACACCCCACCAGGCCCAAGAGUCACCCUCUGACCAGCCCUCUCAAUGUAAACCUAAAGUUAAACCCUCUCCAUGAUACUCAGAUAAGGAGAGGACAUCCUGUGAACAUCUGGUUGGACAAAGAGGCAAUGUGUGGAAAGGGGACAUGGGGAAGAGGGUUGUCUUGAAUAUGUGGUGUUGUGAUAACGGAAAGGUAUUGCUGUCAGUUCUGCAGUGAGACAGGAAACAUUUGUGAGUGCAGUAGUGGGCAGAUGUGUUAACACUCUCUGCCUGCACGUGAGUGACCAACACAUGAAUCAUCACCACCAGGGUGCAAAGGCAGGAAACUGGAAAGAAAAACCAUGAGAGCCAGAGACCUUCUGAAGGAACCUCCUUCCAGGCAUAAAGGAAAUAAAAGGCUGUUUAAAUAUCUCUCCUGAGCUCAGAAAGUAUAGACGGUGCUUAAAACAUUCUGGUGAGGCUGUGAAUAAUUCUUAUUACACAGAUUUGCUCAGAACUGAACAACAGUGUCAGUAAAGCUGUGGGACACAGCAGAACCAGCUCACAGCCCCAAAACAGUACCUACCUGGGAAACCAGCCCAGCUCCAUGGCAGAGCAAGGUGUGACUGUAAAGUGUGAGUUGCUUGCAUUUUACAAAAUUUUUUAAUUGAAAUUUCAGUGCAAAGGAGAUAUUCAACAAGGAAACUUCAACAAAACUAUUAACAUUUGGCAUCUUCCCUCAGAGAGCAUAGAAAAUAUUUCCUCAACAUGGAGACAUUCACAUCAAGAUACCUCUCUCUAGGAUUGAGAGAAAUUAGGAGACUCUCUGCACACCACUAUCAUGCGUUGGCAUUCCCUGCUCUGGAAAAGCUGCUUCUCCCUGCCUGUGGGAGCCUCUGUCAUGAGACAUCUGUGGGUGAUCACCUGGAGUCACCAGAAAGGCUAUCAGAAGAGAAGUUCCAGACCUCUGGAGGGGUUUUCAGUAUUUGAGAGGCAGGCUGGAGGCUCACUGCUGUCAUGUAAUCCAGAUGUGCAUUUCCUUGUCCUGAAUGCACCACAUGUGUGCCUGCUGAUGUGAAGUAGGGUUAUACACCUCAGUACAAAGGGAAGUUCUAUUAAGCUACUGUUUUCAUGUCUUACGAGAUGUCUAAUAAGCUUACUUGAACAAUUUAAUGAAAUGUUUCCAAAUUCCAAGCUAAUCUGUCUCAAACACUGACCAAUAACUAAAAUGGUGAGGCCUGCAUAAAUCAAUUGUUUUACACAAAUAUCUGAUACAUUGUCGAUUUAAGCCUUGAAAUUUACCAGUUAUUUCAGCCAGGUCAUUUUGGAAAUAAUUACAAGGAAAUUUCUUUGGAGAGCAGGUACUUUUUAUAAUAAGGGAACAUAUGCCUGGGUUUUAUUCUUCUGAAUGUACAAAAUUUCCCAAGUGGGGCAAACUGAGCCAAGAACAAGAAAAUCCAAAGAUAUGCUAGAUCCCUUAGGAACACCAGCAUAAAAACAUGCUGCUGAAAUGCAUGAGAGAUGAACUGAGAGAUAUCUCUUCUUAGUGGAUGAUAUCAGUAUUUCAUGGAGUACUCUUAAAUCCAAUAUUAUUUCAGGACAACUUCCUAGUUUCUUGCAAAAAAAAACAACCCAUUGUAUUCUGCUAUAAACUGCAUUAGUGAAUAAAUAAUAUUUUUUCAAUAAUAUAAUCAUCCUAUCUUUGUAGUGAUACAUUAUCCUGUUGUUAUCAGAUUAAGACUGUUUUUUCUCCUAACUAAUCAGAUGGAGGGAUUAAAACCUGCAUACACAAGUAGAACACAAAACAGCCCGAGGGAGAGAAGACAAUUUGAUAGGACAGAUGGGCUGGGAAACAGUGACAUGCAGUGUCUUACCACGACUGGAAAGAAGAGUCUGUCAUGGAAGUGGAUUGGCAGAAAUACAUCAACAAUGGCACUUUGGCAGCCUGAAGGAUCUGAUCUUCUUGUCUCCAGCUUUCCAGAAUGCAGAUUUUUCAGGAGGUUUUUUAUGGGGGCACACACAGGUGACACAGAUAAUGAGCUUCACAAUGAACUGUCAGAACUUGGAGUAGUUAUGAUUUAUCCCCAUCUACAAAAGUGUUCCAAACAUGGACUUAUGUGUAAGCAACUGCUGCAUCAAAUUAAUGACUGUCUUCCCCAACAUCUAACCAUUUAAAGCUGUAAUGGGCACCUGUUUAAAUGCACUUGCUAAAAUUAUUGCCUCUACUUAGCUCCCCCAUCAGAGUAAUGCCCAAUGGUACUUUUUUUCUUCUGCAUGGUUUGUGGUGCUCAGUGCAGCUCUGUGCCCUGGAAAACCAACAGCAGCUGUGUAAGUGGCAUAUAGACUCAAAGAUACUACAGGCAGUUUCUGAAUCACAGAGAAUCAAUAUUAAUUACAUUUCAUCACUUUCACACUGUACUGGAGGAAAAGAAAAGCUAAAAAUAACUUUAUCUUCCCUGU